AGUGAACGCUGGCGGUAGGCCUAACACAUGCAAGUCGAACGGCAGCACAGUAAGAUCUUGCUCUUACGGGUGGCGAGUGGCGGACGGGUGAGGAAUACAUCGGAAUCUACUUUUUCGUGGGGGAUAACGUAGGGAAACUUACGCUAAUACCGCAUACGACCUACGGGUGAAAGCAGGGGAUCUUCGGACCUUGCGCGAUUGAAUGAGCCGAUGUCGGAUUAGCUAGUUGGCGGGGUAAAGGCCCACCAAGGCGACGAUCCGUAGCUGGUCUGAGAGGAUGAUCAGCCACACUGGAACUGAGACACGGUCCAGACUCCUACGGGAGGCAGCAGUGGGGAAUAUUGGACAAUGGGCGCAAGCCUGAUCCAGCCAUACCGCGUGGGUGAAGAAGGCCUUCGGGUUGUAAAGCCCUUUUGUUGGGAAAGAAAAGCAGCGGGUUAAUACCCCGCUGUUCUGACGGUACCCAAAGAAUAAGCACCGGCUAACUUCGUG
rnacentral:rRNA from 1 species